GAUGAACGCUGGCGGCGUGCCUAAUACAUGCAAGUCGAGCGAACAGAUAAGGAGCUUGCUCCUUUGAAGUUAGCGGCGGACGGGUGAGUAACACGUGGGUAACCUACCUAUAAGCCUGGGACAACUUCGGGAAACCGGAGCUAAUACCGGAUAACAUUUAGAACCGCAUGGUUCUAAAGUGAACGAUGGUCUUGCUAUCACUUAUAGAUGGACCCGCGCCGUAUUAGCUAGUUGGUAAGGUAACGGCUUACCAAGGCGACGAUACGUAGCCGACCUGAGAGGGUGAUCGGCCACACUGGAACUGAGACACGGUCCAGACUCCUACGGGAGGCAGCAGUAGGGAAUCUUCCGCAAUGGGCGAAAGCCUGACGGAGCAACGCCGCGUGAGUGAUGAAGGGUUUCGGCUCGUAAAACUCUGUUAUUAGGGAAGAACAAAUGUGUAAGUAACUGUGCACAUCUUGACGGUACCUAAUCAGAAAGCCACGGCUAACUACGUGCCAGCCGCCGCCGUAA
rnacentral:rRNA from 1 species